GUGAUGACGCCGCUGAGCGACGAUUUGUGAAGUCAUUUCAGCCGUCUGA
rnacentral:snoRNA from 1 species